UAGGAUUCCCUCAGUAAUGGCGAAUGAACAGGGAUCAGCUCAGCAUGGAAAUUGGGGCCUCUGGCCUUGAAUUGUAGUCUUGAGAUGGCAUCGCCAGCGGAGGCGCAGAUGUAAGCCUCUUGGAAAAGAGCAUCAAUGAGGGUGAGAGUCCCGUUUGUCAUCUGCAGUCCCCCGUGCACGGCUUGCUUUCUAAGAGUCACGUUCCUUGGGAUUGGAGCGCAAAUUGGGUGGUAAAUUUCAUCUAAAGCUAAAUAUUGGUUCGAGACCGAUAGCAAACAAGUACCAUGAGGGAAAGGUGAAAAGGACUUUGAAAAGAGAGUUAAAAGUGCCUGAAAUUGCUGAAAGGGAAGCGAAUGGAACCAGUUUUUCUUGGCGAGAUUGUUGCGUGCUAAUGUGAUGGCUUGUUGCUUCAACGCAAGUGUUGCAGCGGGUUUUGAUCUGGACGUGCGCGGUGCUUCUUGCCUUGGGUGUCAACGUCGGUUCAGACUUGAGGAAAACUCCAGGGACAUGGUAAGUCACUUCUGGGUGACUGAAAGUGCUUGGCAGAACUCAUUUCUGAACUGAAUUCCGCAUGUCUGGUCGCAGUGCUUUCACUUCCCGUGCUUCGUUCGGAGCUCUCUGGGCUCUGCGCUGGGCUGGGACGUGGGGCAUCUCCCUGACAUCAGUACGAUGACAAAAUGGUUUUAUUCGACCCGUCUUGAAACACGGACCAAGGAGUCUAACAUAUGUGCAAGUUCACGGGUGUUAAACCUGCUUGCGCAAUGAAAGUGACUGCUGGGAUAUUUGCACCAGCAACCGACCAAUCAAUUGUGAGAGGUUUGAGUAUGAGCAUAUCUGUUAGGACCCGAAAGAUGGUGAACUAUGCCUGAGAAGGGCGAAGUC
rnacentral:rRNA from 1 species